GACGUAGGGUGCGAGCGUUGUCCGGAUUUAUUGGGCGUAAAGAGCUCGUAGGCGGCUCGUCGCGUCGGCUGUGAAAACCCGCGGCUUAACUGUGGGCUUGCAGCUGAUACGGGCGGGCUAGAGUUCGGUAGGGGAGACUGGAAUUCCUGGUGUAGCGGUGAAAUGCGCAGAUAUCAGGAAGAACAUCGGUGGCGAAGGCGCUCUGCUGGACCAUAACUGACACUCAGGGACGAAAGCUAGGGGAGCGAAUGGG
rnacentral:rRNA from 1 species